rnacentral:rRNA from 1 species
AGUCAAUAGAUACCCGGGUAGUCCCAGCAGUAAACGGUGCGCGUUUGGUGUGAGCAGAUUCGACUCUGUUCGCGCCGGAGCUAACGCGUUAAACGCGCCGCCUGGGAAGUACGAUCGCAAGAUUAAAACUCAAAGAAAUUGACGGGGGCCCGCACAAGCGGUGGAGUAUGUGGCUUAAUUCGAUGCAACGCGAAGAACCUUACCUGGGUUUGACAUGCAUCUCUAAGGAGGUGAAAGCUUCCGAGGGUAGCAAUACCCGAUUUGCACAGGUGCUGCAUGGCUGUCGUCAGCUCGUGUCGUGAGAUGUUGGGUUUAAGUCCCGCAACGAGCGCAACCCUUGUAUGCUGUUGCUAUGCUUACGCAUAGCUCUCUGCGUAGACUGCCCCGUGAAACGGGGUAGGAAGGUGGGGAUGACGUCAAGUCAGCAUGGCCCUUACACCCAGGGGCUGCACACGUACUACAAUGCUCAGUACAAUUAGAACCUGCCCC